rnacentral:lncRNA from 1 species
UAUUGAGAUAGGUCGGAUUUGAUAUUAGCUGAAAGUAGAGAGUGGCUAAUUUCUAAGGGUAUGUAUCAGGAUUAACCAAAUUUAAUAUAUUUUUCACUCUAGUUAUAUGUGCUAAAGUGAAUAUCUGAUUUAGCCCUAAGGUAUUAUGCUAGGGUUCGUCGGAUUUGAUUUGUAUGAGCUCUAAGUAUAUGUAUUAGAGCUCGAUCGAGUAUGGAUUUCACUCUAGAUAAAUGUGCCAGAGCAAAAGGCUAACUAGACCCUAAGUGUAUGUGUUAGGACUAGUCGAGCUUGAUUUGACUUCCACUCUAGAUAUAUGUGCUAGAGCAAAAGGUUGACAAUACCAUUGGCUUCGUCUGGUUCGGGGUUAAGUAAAAACUAGUUAUUCCAGGUAUAGGGUUAAAUUAAGGGUUAAGGUGUGGUUAGAGUAAUUUUGUAUUUGGUUGAGAAUUGGGCUUAGUCCAGGUAUAAGUAAAAUAGUGUUUGAUUGAAGUAGGUGGGAUAAGAAGGAUAUUGGGUUAUUAUAAAUAAAAAAUAAUGAUUUGUCCCAAUUUUUAUAUUUGAAUUUAAAUUUAAAAUUUAGAUAAUUAAAAAUAAUAAUUUAAAUUUUAAAAUUUAAAAUUUAAAAUUAAAAUCUAUAUUUUUAAAUCUUAAAAUAAAAAAUUUAAAGUUACAAAUAUAAAAUAUCAAAUUUAAAAUUUAAAUAAUUAAAAAUAAUAAUUUUAAAUUUUAAAUUUUAAAUUUUUAAAAAUAAAUAUUAAUUUUAAAAUUUAAAUAUAUAAUUUUUAAAAAAUUUUAAAUUUUAAAAUUAAAAUUUAUAUUUAUAUUAAUUAAAUAGGGGUGGGAU